CACUGCCAGGGGUGGGAGUGGGGGUUCCUUUCAGAGGUCACCUCUCUCGGACCAAACAGAGGGAUGCUUUCCAUGCCGAGUGCCUUCUUCUACAGAAAGGAAUAUAAUGGACAGUUGAAGAAAAUGAGUCAGAGAAUGCAAGGAACUUGUCCAAGGUUACCAAGAAAUGGAGUCUUACUGUGUUGCCCAGUCUGGUCUCAACUCCCGGCCUCAAGUGAUCCUCCUGCCUCAGCCUCCCAAGGAGAGGGCUUUUAUUUUUUUGAGGCAGAGUUUCACUCUGUUGCCCAGGCUGGAGUGCAGUGGCAUGAUCUUGGCUCACUACAGCCUUCGCCUCCCGGGCUCAAGCAAUCCUCAACUUCACCCUCCCAAGUAACUGGGACCACAAGUGUGCACCACCACGCCGGUUGAUUUUUGUAUUUUUCGUAGAUAUGGGGCUUCACCACAUUGCCCAGGCUAGUCUCCAUCUGCCUCAACCUCUGAAAGUGCUGGGAUUACAGGCGUGAGCAACUGUGCCCAGCCAGGAGAGGGGUUAUUGAGUUCCACAUUUACAUAUCACCU
rnacentral:lncRNA from 13 species